GAUGAAGAACGUAGCGAAAUGCGAUAAGUAAUGUGAAUUGCAGAAUUCAGUGAAUCAUCGAAUCUUUGAACGCACAUUGCGCCCCUUGGUAUUCCGAGGGGCAUGCCUGUUCGAGCGUCAUUAUAACCCCUCAAGCUCAGCUUGGUGUUGGGGCCUGCCGCACGGGCAGCCCUUAAAAUCAGUGGCGGUGCCAUCUGGCUCUAAGCGUAGUAAUUCUUCUCGCUAUAGAGUCCCGGUGGAUGCUUGCCAUUAACCCCCAAUUUUCUAUGGUUGACCUCGGAUCAGGUAGGGAUACCCGCUGAACUUAAGCAUAUUCAAUAAGCGGAGGA
rnacentral:misc_RNA from 1 species